UGCUAGCUCCCUUGUAGAGAUCUCAUCUUGAUGGUUGAAAUUUUUUUUUUCUCCUAAGACACUCUUAGAGAACAAGAAGAUAUAAGAGGAUCUUGAUCUUCACACUAGAGAUCAUGAGAAAACUCUUUCUUCUCUUUUCUUCUUAAAUCCAUGCACCAAAUCUCUACAAUAGAGAUGUAAUAAUUUUAUUUAACUUUUGGAUAAAAGAAAGAGGAGACAUCUAUGUCUAAACAUGGAC
rnacentral:lncRNA from 1 species